rnacentral:siRNA from 1 species
CUACAGAUCAUUUUCUUUGUGC